rnacentral:rRNA from 1 species
CACCUGGGGAGUGCGGCCGCAAGGUUAAAACUCAAAUGAAUUGACGGGGGCCCGCACAAGCGGUGGAGCAUGUGGUUUAAUUCGACGCAACGCGAAGAACCUUACCUGGCCUUGACAUGCAGAGAACUUUCCAGAGAUGGAUUGGUGCCUUCGGGAACUCUGACACAGGUGCUGCAUGGCCGUCGUCAGCCCGUGUCGUGAGAUGUUGGGUUAAGUCCCGUAACGAGCGCAACCCCUAUCCCUAGUUGCUAGCAGUUCGGCUGAGAACUCUAGGGAGACUGCCGGUGACAAACCGGAGGAAGGUGGGGAUGACGUCAGGUCAUCAUGGCCCUUACGGCCAGGGCUACACACGUGCUACAAUGGUGCGCACAGAGGGCUGCAGACCCGCGAGGGGGAGCCAAUCUCACAAAACGCAUCGUAGUCCGGAUCGCAGUCUGCAACUCGACUGCGUGAAGUCGGAAUCGCUAGUAAUCGUGAAUCAGAAUGUCACGGUGAAUACGUUCCCGGGCCUUGUACACACCGCCCGUCACACCAUGGGAGUGGAUUGCACCAGAAGUGGUUAGUCUAACCUUCGGGAGGACGAUCACCACGGUGUGGUUCAUGACUGGGGUGAAGUCGUAACAAGGUAACCGUA